ensembl:lincRNA Gm29019 predicted gene 29019
AGCUAGCCGCCGUUGGGGAUGAAUAUUGUUCUAAAGGAAAAAAAAAAAGAGAACAAAACAACUAAAAAAACGGAGAAGGGGGUUAGGGGCAAACACCACGUGGCUGCAGGAGGAUUACAAGAUUUCCUUUCCUUUCUCUACUGACAAGAUUGCAAAAUGUGUGUGAACCAAAAGGCACAGCCAGGACGGGAGCGUGAGGAACUGUAGUAGGCAAGAUUUAUCGUCAGAUGUGGUGGCAUAUGUCUUUAACAUCAUCAUUCAGAAGACAGAGGCAGGGAGAUCUCUGUGAAUUUUGAGCCCAGCCUGGUCUACCUGCGUUUUUUCUCUCCCUACCGGAAAUCUGAUGGGCUUAUGACAUCAUGGCUGGCUGCUGAGCGAUGGAGUGGAUGCCACAAAGAAAUCCGACAUGUCAGAUGGAUUCAGAAAUCCCUUUCCCUCCUGCGGCUGGAGGAACAGGCGUGGAGUCGGGAGAGUCUGAGCUUUGUUUGAGAAAUUAUUAAGGAAAAAAAAAAAACCAAAUCUUGCCUGACAUUAAAAGCAGUUUUCUUAAAAACA